rnacentral:rRNA from 1 species
CGGGAAACUGGGGAUAAUCCCCGAUAGGUCUCGGCUGCUGGAAUGCAUCGAGAUUAAAAGCUCCGGCGCCUAAGGAUGGGUCUGCGGCCUAUCAGGUAGUAGUGGGUGUAGUGUACCUACUAGCCUACGACGGGUACGGGUUGUGAGAGCAAGAGCCCGGAGAUGGAUUCUGAGACACGAAUCCAGGCCCUACGGGGUGCAGCAGGCGCGAAAACUUUACAAUGCUGGCAACAGCGAUAAGGGAACCUCGAGUGCCAGGUUACAAAUCUGGCUGUCGAGAUGCCUAAAAAGCAUUUCAUAGCAAGGGCCGGGCAAGACCGGUGCCAGCCGCCGCGGUAAUA